UCAUAAAGUCUUUCUGCCUGUGUGGGCCCAUUUAAAAAAUAAUUUUAUGUUUCAGAAUAUAAAAGCAAUACAGGUUCAUUGAAGAUAUUCAUAGUCAUAUAAAUAUAAAAUAAAAUUGCUUUGGCCCUUUUAUCCUGCCAUGUUUCUAUUUUUUUGUUUGAUUACUUUUGAUAAGCAGUAUGGAAUCUUCUAAAAGAACACAAAACUGUCUCACUAACUUCUGUUACUUUCUAAAAUAAGCCUUAUACUCUGAUUCUACCUAAAUUUUUUAUCUUAAGUUGGGACUGAUAUUGUCGCUUUGUGACUAAAGCUCACCAUAAAUUCACCUUAAAUAUAAUAUGUAUGUGUGUAUACAUUUAUUUAAAAGAUAGACCAAUUAUAGAUGAGAACUCAUUCAUAGAAUUGAAGAACAUAAACAUUGCUUACUUUUUAUUUCCUUAUUAAGAAACUUGGAUAUAUAAUUUCGUUUUUAAUUAAUAAGACCCUCAAUCAUGUAUUAUACUUAUCAUUCUUUCUCCCCAUGUUUGAGAUGGUAUUGCCCUACUAAAAAAAAAUUCCAUAGACCUUGUGGAUAUUUGAGAUUUUUCUCUCACUUAAAUAGUAUUUAGAAAAAUGAAAUUGAAGUAAUUUUGUACCUGAAGUCCACCAAAGACAGCUUCCUAUAUCUUUUUAUUCAGAGAUUUUUAUCAAAGGAAUGUAGACUGGAAUCUGCAAUGGUUCUCAAAAUCUGAGAGUGGUAAGUGAGACCAAUUAAGUCUUUUCUUACCAGUAUUUAAUUUUUUUUUCUCUGUAGUUUUUAACUGAAAUAUUUCAUAUGACAAGCCACAUUAAUUCUUGGUUUCUUGACUUUUAAUGACAGCCUUCUUUUAGUUGUUUUGCCAUCGAUAACUUUAGUUUGGUUGCUAGAAAUUCUGUAUUUUGUAUCCUCAGGGUUUUUAUUUAUUUGGGACCUGGAAUGAGGUCCAAAAAUAGUGGGAAUCUUUGAGGCUGCCAUCAUGUUCUCUAUACUUGUGUCAUCUUUGUGGAGCUGACCACCCUGAAUCCUGGAGUUGAUUUCUCUUUGACCAGCCCCUGGUUGAUUGUGGUAGUCUGAGAAUAGAGGUGGCAUUUAACUGUUUUCACCUCACCAAUUCAAGAAUUGUUUGCUGAACCCAUUAAAUCUGGCAUGGAUAUUGAUUAGGUGGUUGAAAUGAAUCUAAAAACAUUUAAAAAUUUUAAAUGCUUAUAAGAAUUAGCCAUGCUGGAGCUACAGCAUGGUGAUUGAGAGCUUAUUGAGCAUGAACAAGGCCCUGAGUAUUUGAUCCCCAACUCUGGGGUGGGGGAAGAAAAAAAAGAGAGCGAGAGAGCAAGGGGGUAGGGAGAGAGAGAGAGAAGGGAAAGAGGUAAGAAGGGAGGAAGGAAGGAAGAAAAAUCCGCAUAGAGAAAUGAAAGAUGCUCAAUGAAUGGGGACUUAGAUUAUAUGUCAUUAACACCAGAAUUACUUUAAUUUGUAGCUUUAGCUAUAAAUUUCAAAACCGGUUUUGAGUAUUGACAUCUUAUAUAUUUUAGUCUGUCUUCCUUUCUGUAAUUUUUAUUGCAAAUAAUAAAAAGAUAAAAAACUGACUCAUAAACUUAAGCUACUAAUAAAUAUAUUAGCUCAUGUAACUUCAAAGAACUACUUUGGAAAUGAUACAGCAAUUCAGUGACUUCUGUUUUUUGUUUUGGUUUUCUGGUGUUGCUUUCAUUCUGGUGCUCCUGAUAAGGCUUUUACUAGCUCUUAACUAUUAUUAUUUCCAUGUUUACUUUCACUUAGAAAAAGAGUAUUUGCCUCUGUAUAUUUAAUAAAUGUCCCAAUAUUUAUUCUGGUUUGACCAGUGGAGAUCAUAUUUCCAUCUCAGUAGUGUUGUAUCUGGUUUGUAUGUUUCAUUCCAGGAGACAAUGAUGAAGGUAACUUCUUUGGAACUUUUGGAUCCCCAAAUGAGUAAUUGUCUUCUUGGAAAAGGAAAGUGGAGAAUAAAUGUGAAGGCAGGUGAUUAACAUGCAUUACAUAACCUUCAUUCUUUACUUUCACCUGUCCCAUACUUUAUCAUUAGUAUCUACCUGAUGAAGUCUUAACUUUAUUUUUUGUCAUUCUUGCUACAUAUUAGGGACUCUCCCCAACCCAAACAAAUAGAAAAACCACUAUUGUCCAGGCCAUUCAUUUACCUUUAUUAGAAACUUGCUUGCCACAUUUUCUUUGUCAACAGUUUUCUUUUAGGCAAUACUUGAAAUUUUAUCAGAAAGUAAAUCAUUCUAAAGUGUAUUUUUUUUCCAAUACGGAAGAAUUUUACUAUUAGCUGAUUUAUAAUAAACAAGAACUCUGCCUCAUGUAUUAAUGAUGAACAGUUACAUGUUUUUAAAAGUGAAGCUCAAUUUAAUCAAAAACAUUUUUUAAAUACUGAAAUAUGAAGUGCAUAGUACUAACAGCCACCAUAAAGUUCAAUACUUUGAGAUAAUGAAAUUUUACUUCAAGUUAUAUAACAGGAGCAGAAUUUACUGUAAAAGAGAUUUUAGAGACCGUUUAAUUAAUUAUUCUAGUACCUUCUCUAGUAAGGCUGACAAAAGGAGUUCAACAGCAACAGCUCCAUAACUACUUUAUUAGAAAGCUCACAUUCCAUUUACUCCAUUUACAUGGGAGAUGGUAAAUAUUCAACAAGUGUAAUUUGAACUCUAAAUAGAAUAGCUUUGUCUUUUAUAUGUUGAGGAUAAAUUCUGUGUGUAUGUAACUUUCACCCAGUAGAAGUAUGUUUCUUUCCCUUGGAGGGGGAGCUUUUCAGGCACGUGAAAGCAAUGAUGUCUCUUUUAUCUUCUUGUCAUCAGUCCAAAUAUAUAAGCAUUUCUCCUAUAUGAUUUUAUUGCCAAUUACAAUCAAAUAACUGUUCAAUUUACCCUCCUAAUUUUCUUUAAUUUUUCCAGGGCCUUACACAUGCUAGGCAAGUGCUCUACUCCCUGAGCUACACCCUCGGCCCUAGUUUCCUUUAUAAUGUUCAUAAAGGUAAACACCAUACCCUUAACAUGAUAUAAGCGCUGCAGGAAGUAUAGUGUAUAUACUGUUUUCUUUGUUCUAAAUGUAUUACUUUCAAAUGUUUUUUAAAAAUAAUUUUAGUUAAAGUAUACAUGCUAUAAAAUAUGCUAUACAUAAGAUACACCCUUUUUAAGGUGUCCAGUUCAGUUUUUAAAAUUUCUAUUUAUGUAAUUACCACCACAAUAAAGACAGAACAUUUUUAUACUCACUGAAGCUAACAUGUGCCUCUACUUAACAUCAUAUCCACUUCUGAUCUCCAGCCCCAGGCAAACACUCAUCUGCUUUCUGUCUCUGUAGAUGAGAUUUUUGUUUUCUAGAAUUUAUAUAAGUGGAGUCAGACAUACCUUGGAGAUACUAUGGGUUUGAUUCCAGUCCACCACAUUAAAGCAAAUACUGUAAUAAAGUGAGUUAUAUGAACCAUUUGGUUUCCCAAUGCACAUGAAAGUUGUGUUUACAUUAUAGUCUUUUAAGCAUGCUGUAGUAUUAGAUCUAAA
rnacentral:lncRNA from 1 species